GCAAGCUCAAUCAAACUUGUUAGAUCAUAAGACAACUUAACUUUGGACCCUUUGACAUAAUCAAAACUCGGGUUCAAUCGUUUGGUGCUUCCUGCACCAACACUUUGCCUAUGAAUCUUUAAGUUUAUUAACCUGAUCUUUCAAAUUGGAAUUCUAUUCCUCAAGUUGUUGGACUUGAGUUGUGGUUCCACCAUGAACCUAAUCGAUUAUGUAAAAUACCGGAAAUAGGCGAAUAUGAAUAAGGGAAUUUUCCAAAAUUUUUGGACAUUUUUCGGGGAUUUUUCGGAGUUCGUACGGACGAGUUAACGGGGAUAAAAAUGGGGCCCGGAAAAGCCUGUUUAGUCUACCUCGUUUAAGCGAGGAAAUGUUUAUAUUUACAUUUCCUUUUCUUUUGUUUCUUUUUAUUUCCUUAUUUCCUCUUCUUAUUCCUCACCUCGCCGAACCCAAGCCAUCCCCGCAACUCUUCCCUUCUUCUUCCCGACGCCGUGCCCUAACCGUCGGUCCGGCGGUUUCUUCCUCCCCGGAGUCUGCCCAAGCGCCGGCGAGCGCGAGCCACUGCUGGUCAAGCCGUCGGCUGUGCCCUAGUCUCCUUGUCGACGGCGCCGACACCCACAGAAGAUUUCCUCUUCUCUGCCGACGCCGAAACCAAUUCUCCUUCCCUUCCUGCGACGCCGACGCCACUGCCGAUCCACCGCAGGUGCGUCUGUGCCCUAGUGUUUCCACCGACGCCGAGCAGUGCCGGCCAUCUCUCCUCUUCCUCCAUUUCGAGAUUUUUUUUCCAGCCGAUUCUUCUCGGACGCCCUCUGCCCUAGAUUUGGGCCACAGCCGACCAAGCUCCUUGCCCUGAAUCUGCCGAGCCUCACUUUCAUCUCUUCUCCUCUGCCCUAGUUUUCCUGGUGUCGUUGUCUUGGUACCACACUGCCGCCGGCCAUCAGGAUCAGCCGAGUUCUGUGUGAUUUUGGAGGUCACGGAUUGGUGUGGUUUGGUUGGGAAGGGACUGCUGAUACAGAGUUGAGAUUUAGUAACUUUGUGAUCCCCAGCAGCGGCUCUGAUCUUGUUUCAGCAACCAACGUCUUUGAUUUUGGAUCAACAGUGAUACAUACGAAUUGAGGACUUUGACGCGAGACGAGUAUCUCGGAGUCAGAUUGGACCUUUCUAUUUUCGGAGG